rnacentral:tRNA from 1 species
GGGGGUGUGGCUCAGUGGUAGAGUGUGUGCUUAGCGUGCAUGAGGUCCUGGGUUCCAUCCCCAGUACCUCCA